rnacentral:rRNA from 1 species
ACGGAAGGCAGCAGUGGGGGAUAUUGGACAAUGGGGGAAACCCUGAUCCAGCGACGCCGCGUGAGUGAAGAAGUAUUUCGGUAUGUAAAGCUCUAUCAGCAGGGAAGAAAAAAUCAAAAUUGACUGUACCUGACUAAGAAGCUCCGGCUAACUACGUGCCAGCAGCCGCGGUAAUACGUAGGGAGCAAGCGUUAUCCGGAUUUACUGGGUGUAAAGGGUGCGUAGACGGCUGUGCAAGUCAGAAGUGAAAUCCCGGGGCUUAACCCCGGUGCUGCUUUUGAAACUGUACGGCUAGAGUGCUGGAGGGGCAAGCGGAAUUCCUGGUGUAGCGGUGAAAUGCGUAGAUAUCAGGAGGAACACCGGUGGCGAAGGCGGCUUGCUGGACAGUAACUGACGUUGAGGCACGAAAGCGUGGGGAGCAAACAGGAUUAGAUACCCUGGUA